UGUGGUCACUUCCUGUUCAUAUGCCUGCCCCCCACUGAGCCAGGAACUCCCCGAGGAAAUGCUGCCUCAUUCAUCUUGGUGGCCCUGUAUGUACCCAGCACGGGGUGCAGCACUUAGGGGGUGUUCAAGAAAUAUUGGCUGGUGGACAGAUGGGUGAUGGGCAAAGGAAGGAAAGAGCGGGAGUGCUCAAAGAUGAGGCCAGAAAGGACACUUUGCGCAUGACAGCAAUCCUCGUCUUCUCCAGCCCGUCCUUGGUCCCGCUCUUGGCAGCCUUCAUGAGCUGGGUCAUCUGAGCAAAGGCAAAGGGGCUCAUCAGAGAAGCUGAGGGAUGCCCCAGGAUGCCUGCCAAGGGCCGCCAGCCCCACCCAGGCCUCACAGCCAGAGCUGCACACAUCAAGACCCCUGGGCCCAUUCACUUCCAGGGAGGUGGCAGCAGAGGCCAAGAGGGACAGCCAGGCAGUGGCACCUGAGACAUCCCGGGACAAGCCUAGUCAGGUCUGGAGAAAGCUGGAGCCCCCAAGCGGCCAGGCAGAAGGAGAGCAGGUGCGAGGAGGAGGCGGGACAGGAGGAGACAAACAGGACAACAGAGGAGAAAGGAGACCAGGUGAGGCGGGAUGUGGGGCGUGGGGAGGGCUCCCACCCCAACAUGUAGGCAGCGGGGGCGGGGUCCUGGCUGCUGGGAGGACAGGAGAGGACCAACCAGGCCCCCCUCAGGGAAGGGGGACAGCACUUGGAAGACAAGGACUGUGUCUCAGGCAUCCCCCCAUCCCAGGGGCCAGCGUGGGGCUGGUGACAUAGGAGGUUCUCGGUACGUCUGUGAGAUGGAUGGGUGGCGGGGGGAUGGAUGGGCAGGAUGGGUGGGUGGGCAAAUGCAUAGGAAGACGGGUGAAUGUAUAGAGGGAUGGUUGGACAGGUAGAUGGACAACAGACAGAGGGAUGGGUGGAUGGAUGGAUGGACGGACAGACAGAUAAAUGGAUAGGUGAGCAAAUGGAUAAACUUAGUUGGAUGACCGCAGAGCUGUGUAAAUGGAUGGGCAGGUGAACUGUAAGAUGAAUGAAUAAAAACACAGAGGGACUGGUGGGUGGAUGGAAGCAAUGCCGUGCUGGUAAGUAUUUAACAAAUGCUUCUCCAGGAGAAAGAGCCCUGCUUUGUAGUAUUUCCAUGGUGUGAAUACUCCUACCAUGGCAAAUUUCACACUACCAGUGUGACACCACUGAAAGCAGAGUUGGAAAGAGUGUACAGCUGGUUCCUAGAUCUUGUGAACUAGGAAGAGCCAGCUCUGGCACACCACUGGAGGAAGGAAUGGGUUAAUAGAGGGAGGCAGGAGGGAGGGACAGAGGGAGCGCAGGCAGGCAACUGGUUGGAAGGAUGGGUGGCAGACUAGCUUACAUACUAUCUGCGAAAACGGAUGGAUGGAGAGACACACAGAUAGACAUUCAAGUGCGUGACCCAUGUGAGCAACAGUGAUAUUUGGUAAAGCAUGCAGAAAACCGAGACAUACAGAAAACCAUGCUCCGGAAGCAUGAACUCUGGAGGCAAGCAGGCCUACAUUCAAAUCACCACCCCCUGGCUCACUAGCUGGAAAAGUAUCUUUACCUCUCGGAGGGACACUUCCUCACUGGUCAAGUGGCCGGGAUAAUUACUUCACAGAAUUACUGAGAAGAUUAAAUGGGCAAUACGCGUAGAGCCCAGGACUUAGUAAGUGCCCAAAAAUGGAAGCUGUUAUUACACUACCUUACAAAUUAUAAAUGCUCAGUAUUUGUUGAAUGGACGGAUAGUUGUUCAGAUGGCUGGCUGGCUGGCUGGCUGGCUGAAUAGAUGGGUGGAUACUUGGAUAGAUGGAUAGGUGGGUGGAUGGAUGGAUGGAUACCUGCAUAGAUGGAUAGAUGGAUGGAUACUUGGAUAGAUGGUUACAUGGAUGGAUGGAUGGAUGGAUGGAUGGAUGGAUGGAUGGACGGAUCCAUGCAUGCAUGGACAGAAAGAUGAUAUAUUUUGUUUCAGAUCAGAUGUGAUAUUGAGUUGGAGCUCUCCCACUUACUGGCUAUGUGACCUUAACCUCAUCAUUUCGCCUCUCUAAACCUUUGUCUUAGGUUCUCCGAUCAACAAAAUGAGACUUUUAAUGCAAAUAAUACCGACCACUCUAGGGUGUUAGGAAAACCAUAUGAACUGCUUUGUAAACUGUACCACGCUAAGCAGAUGUUCACUCCUGUUAAUGCAAAGAAAGAGUAGGACAGGGAUCCUUCUGAGAAUUACUCAGACUCCCCAAAACUGGAGAGUUGGGGUUUCUUCUGAGUCCUGUUUCAUCUGUAAAUUGACAAUAAAAUCAUAAAGGCCCUGGCUUUGCC